rnacentral:lncRNA from 12 species
AAUGAGCGCGGGGGCCUCACGGCCAGAGCUAUAAGUUUCCCCCCAGGGAACUCGGCGGGGGAGAGUGGACCCACCCCCCCCCCCCCGGGCUGGGUGCCCCGCGGGCCCGGGCAGAUGCCCCCGCGCCCCAGCCGAGCCCGGCGCUGGGACCGGCCCCCUCGGGAGGGACCGCGGGGCUUAGAUCGGCGCGGCUCGGCUCGGCUCGGCUCGGCUCGGGGUGCUUCCCGGGCCGCCCCUCCUGCCCCCACCCCGUGCGGUGACCAGCGAGCAUUAAAAAGGAAAAACUCCACUUCUCGGGGAAUGGGGUUAGGACGGAGGUGGGGGGUAGGGAGGAUACCCAAACUCCCUACGUCAUCUUAAAAAUGAGAGAGGGAGAGAGGGAGAGAUCCUGUUUCCUAGCUCGGCUCUGUCCUCUCGACUGCAAAGUGAAAACGACAGGAGUAUUGAAAAAGAGCCACAUGGGACCGCAUCUGCACUUAAUCUCUCUGGAAUGGGUUAUGGAAUCAGCUGCUGUGAUUGAACUCUGCUGCCUGUCCACAUGGCGGAGGCCCAGGGCCACUCACCAAAGGCAAAACACUCUUUCCAUUGCUGCUUCUCUCUCUGUGCCCUUAGCCGGGACCCUUUUACUUCACUCUGCUGGGGAACCCCAUUUUCCAACUCAUGUCACUCUACAGCCAAAUUCCUCGUCUGUGAAGACACAACCAAGAAAACAUUCUUUAGCCUGA